UCUGUACCGCUAGUCGGCAGGAUAGUGCUAGCCGGUUAGCCUCGAGGCGCGCAUAGUAUUCAGCUUGUCGGCCAGAGAAGAGUCAGCUCUCCCGGCAGCGGUGGAUUUGUCUCCGCAGGCGCUGAUAGUCCUCAGUCCCUGCCACAUCAGGAGUCAUUGAUCUGGAAAUGAGACUCCACCUGCUCCCUGCACCGGAGUUUAGCGGCUCUCACUGCGCGUCGGAGAGCAUAGCACGCCGCUUUGUACUCGCUCAUAUUCCCCGACAUAAGCACUGCAUUGUACGCGAAUUCACCGCAGACAUAUCUGCUAUGUAAAUAGGCAUAAAAAUAAAGCAAUAAUUGAGGUAAAUAAAGUUCUUAAAUAUUUGAUAAGAUUCAGAAGCACAUUAUAGGUUCCUUGUAAUAAUUUUGUCUCAGUGCCAAUCCAAAUUAUUACAUUAUUUUUUAUUUUUACAGGUAGGAAUUUAUAUGAAUUAAGACAAGACGUUAAAUGCUGUUCUCUGCACACAAAGUUAAUUAUAUUACUCAUCCCAGAUUCAUUGUAUAUCUUUACAAAACAGACAAAAAACACAAAAGCAAACCUAUGCACCUUCCAGAUGUUUGUCAAAGUUUUCCAUAAUGUAGUAAGUAUGUAGUUCUUCAUUCCCUACUGGACUAUCAAAUUGAAAGAAAAAACUGAAAAGCCCUCAAAACAUAAACAAUUAUUUUGUGCCUUCUAUAUGGUUUGAUUAUUUCCCUCUAGGCAAUGCAUGCAGCACUGUGCUGUUUGAGGGCAAACCUGACCACCUAAUCGCUUCCAUCUCCCAAGUGUUAGAGCAGAAUGAGAUGAUUCUCAUGGCAGGGAGAAUGAUAGGCCAUUCUUUCCUUCAUGGUGGCCCUCGUCUGACAGGUGUUAGCCCAGCAGUUCUUCAUGUGCUGUUAGGUGAUACACUCCAGACAGCCACCAUCACCAUUGAAGAUGUGGCGGACAUAGACAUCAAGGAGACCAUAAGACUGCUUUAUGAAGAUGGAGAAUCAGACAGGAAGGGAGAUGAAUGCAAGAACCAAUACAGUGCACUCAUUGAGGAUCAGAGGGCAGCUGUAAAUGAGUUGGCACUGGCAUGGGACCUCCCUGUAUUAAUGGAAACCAACAGCACCUGGCUUCUUCAUAAUCUACCUCAGCAUGCAAUAUGCAUUGUCCUUUAUUUGCAUGUACAAGCAACACUCCUGGUUACUACUGCAGACACCUAGUUCUAACUGGAGUUUUUCUUGUUGCGUUUAUACAACUGAAAAAGGCUUAGCGGUGUGCUUGGGCGAAACUCAUGCCAACUGAAGCAGCUCAAGCAGGGAUGGAAGGAAUCAUUGAUUUGGCCACCGUUGGAAUCUCAACCUGACACAGUGGCAUCAGAUUUUUUAGGUUGUUCUAGACCAAAUCAAAUGGCCUGAAGAAGGAGGGUUGGAGGAUGAUGUCGAUGGGUGCUUAGUCAACUCUACAUGCAGAAUUAUGGGGUACUUGCGUCAACGAGUGAAAAUAGAUAAAAUGCAUAUUAAUAUUGCAUAUUGCAUAUUGAUAUUGCAUAGAUAAUGCAUAUAGAUAUUACAUUCCCUCAGUCCAUCCAAUGGUUUCCAUUUUUGGUGUUACACAAAGAAUUUUUUGUUUUUCUUUUUCUUUUUUCACCAUUUCCCUUAAUGAGGAUUAUGUAAAGACACAUAAUGAAGGACCUUAAGUUAUCAUGGUUCACUGAAAAAUUUCACUGGAGUAUUUAGAUUUUGAAGAAACUUUGUUGUAAGCUAUUUCUUUGUGGCAGUGGCCUAUUGCCACUUUUCGAGAUGGUUCGUUGCCUAUUUGAGUAUAUAACAUAAUGCAUGUAGAAAUAACAGUAAUUGUAAGACCUGUUCCUCUGCCAACAUAUGAGCCCAUUAAUACAAAUGUGUCAGCUAUGAUAGAAAAAAUGUGUACACUAUAGAUGGCUUUUAACCUUAACAUGUUAGCAAAGUAGCACAACUACUGUAGCAUGUAGUUACUCAUUUGUCUCAGUUUCCAAUUCUUUGAGAAAUAUUCAAUUCUUUGAGAAAGCAUAUUGUGCUUUGACUCUUUUUACUGUCAGUGUCCCAAGAACAGCUGAAACAGCUUGUUAAUUUCUGGGUUGGAUGGGAGAUACCAGUGGAUGACAUGGAAGUGGAGAUGGUGCAAGCGGAACAUCCCACUUCACAUGCUUCCACACCCUGUGCUUGACUGGUAAUUAGUUACUGAGAAUUUAGCUUUCAUUUACAGAACUGGAUCACCACAAAUGACAGAGGGAUUGUUGCAGAGUACUCAGAGGUGUACUACAGAGUAGUAGUAGACCUAAUGAAAGAAUUCUAUGAAAAACAGUACUCUGAAUUCAUGAGUUAUCUCUUGUUAUUUUAUGUUUUCCUUUGAAUUGGGGCUUUACAUACAGUCAAGUGUCAAAUUUCAACAUUCUCAAAGCACAUGAGGCAUGCUCAAAAACCUAUUGUAUAAUUAAAAGAAGAAUCUAUGCAUGUUGUUCAGUUUUCCAGUGUCCCAAGAUGUUGAAAUAGUGGCUUGUAUUGAUAUGGUUUGUUGUUUCAUUUGA